AGAGUUUGAUCAUGGCUCAGAUUGAACGCUGGCGGCAGGCCUAACACAUGCAAGUCGAACGGUAACAGGAAGCAGCUUGCUGCUUCGCUGACGAGUGGCGGACGGGUGAGUAAUGUCUGGGAAACUGCCUGAUGGAGGGGGAUAACUACUGGAAACGGUGGCUAAUACCGCAUAACGUCGCAAGACCAAAGAGGGGGACCUUCGGGCCUCUUGCCAUCAGAUGUGCCCAGAUGGGAUUAGCUUGUUGGUGAGGUAACGGCUCACCAAGGCGACGAUCCCUAGCUGGUCUGAGAGGAUGACCAGCCACACUGGAACUGAGACACGGUCCAGACUCCUACGGGAGGCAGCAGUGGGGAAUAUUGCACAAUGGGCGCAAGCCUGAUGCAGCCAUGCCGCGUGUAUGAAGAAGGCCUUCGGGUUGUAAAGUACUUUCAGCGGGGAGGAAGGUGUUGUGGUUAAUAACCGCAGCAAUUGACGUUACCCGCAGAAGAAGCACCGGCUAACUCCGUGCCAGCAGCCGCGGUAAUACGGAGGGUGCAAGCGUUAAUCGGAAUUACUGGGCGUAAAGCGCACGCAGGCGGUCUGUCAAGUCGGAUGUGAAAUCCCCGGGCUCAACCUGGGAACUGCAUUCGAAACUGGCAGGCUUGAGUCUUGUAGAGGGGGGUAGAAUUCCAGGUGUAGCGGUGAAAUGCGUAGAGAUCUGGAGGAAUACCGGUGGCGAAGGCGGCCCCCUGGACAAAGACUGACGCUCAGGUGCGAAAGCGUGGGGAGCAAACAGGAUUAGAUACCCUGGUAGUCCACGCCGUAAACGAUGUCUACUUGGAGGUUGUGCCCUUGAGGCGUGGCUUCCGGAGCUAACGCGUUAAGUAGACCGCCUGGGGAGUACGGCCGCAAGGUUAAAACUCAAAUGAAUUGACGGGGGCCCGCACAAGCGGUGGAGCAUGUGGUUUAAUUCGAUGCAACGCGAAGAACCUUACCUGGUCUUGACAUCCACGGAAGUUUUCAGAGAUGAGAAUGUGCCUUCGGGAACCGUGAGACAGGUGCUGCAUGGCUGUCGUCAGCUCGUGUUGUGAAAUGUUGGGUUAAGUCCCGCAACGAGCGCAACCCUUAUCCUUUGUUGCCAGCGAUUCGGUCGGGAACUCAAAGGAGACUGCCAGUGAUAAACUGGAGGAAGGUGGGGAUGACGUCAAGUCAUCAUGGCCCUUACGACCAGGGCUACACACGUGCUACAAUGGCGCAUACAAAGAGAAGCGACCUCGCGAGAGCAAGCGGACCUCAUAAAGUGCGUCGUAGUCCGGAUUGGAGUCUGCAACUCGACUCCAUGAAGUCGGAAUCGCUAGUAAUCGUGGAUCAGAAUGCCACGGUGAAUACGUUCCCGGGCCUUGUACACACCGCCCGUCACACCAUGGGAGUGGGUUGCAAAAGAAGUAGGUAGCUUAACCUUCGGGAGGGCGCUUACCACUUUGUGAUUCAUGACUGGGGUGAAGUCGUAACAAGGUAACCGUAGGGGAACCUGCGGUUGGAUCACCUCCUU
rnacentral:rRNA from 1 species